GAACGAUGUGAUCGUGCUUGCGAUUGAGUUCUUUCGACCUUAAGGGUUUACCACGUUUUCCACCCCUACCGCGGAUAGAUUGUGUACCAUUGGUAGAGUGGUGGUUACCUUUGCUAAACUUACUCUUCGAUUUAUGGAUUAAUGAUUCAGGGGGAGGGACUUGAUGUAGUGAAAAAGGCUUUGGAUGAUGCUCUCUUUUGUUCCAAACACUAGAAGAUGGAGGGGAUGGAGGUGAUGGAAAAGUUGAAGUGGGUUUCGUUACCAAACGAGAGUCAGUACCUUGAGAAACAUUAUUUGCACUAACAUUGGUUUUUCUAUUCUUUCCGGCACGGGUAUUUACAACGAACUGAGGAUUUGUAACGUUUAAAACCAUUGAAACUUCAACUUGCAUACCAUGAUAUGGCGAACACCUUCCAUCUAGAGUAGUUCCGCUCAUAAAAGGCAAGUCAAAGACGACAUCCAAAUGAUGCAACAUAAUACCCACGACAGUUCCGUAUGCUGCAAUUGGAACUUUACCAGAGUCCUGAACAUAAACAACACGAUCGCCUAAAGCAAAUUCUUG